ACAGCCAUACCAUAUUGAAAGCACCGUCAAUCGUCCAAUCACCGAAGUUAAGCAUAAUCAGGCGCAGUCAGUACUUGGAAGGGUACCCCCUGGGAACACAGCGUGU
rnacentral:rRNA from 1 species